GAGGGUGUAGCUAAGCGGUAGAGUGCAUGCUUAGCAUGCACGAGGUCCUGGGUUCAAUUCCCAAUACCUCCA
rnacentral:tRNA from 1 species